AUCGGGAGAGCCUUGGGUUGGAAGCAAACCCUCUUAUCCUUCAUACGAAGGAAUCCAAACUCACAGCUCUCUUUCUCUGUAUAAAAGGGCGGAUCAUCUUCUUCUUCCUCACCCACUCACUCUCAUCUUUGCCUCUCUUCUUCCCACCAUCUCCAUCUUACAUACAAAAGAAGGAAGAUGUACGCACCGCCGGGCGCCCAGGACAUGUCGUACUUGGACCACGUCCAGCGGCGCCACGAGGAGAAAGGAUGCCUCUAUGCCUGUUUGUUCGCGUUAUGUUGCUGCUUCUGCUGCUACGAGACCUGCGAGUGCUGCUUGGACUGCCUCUGCUGUUGCUGCAACUAAACCAUGUCAGGAGACAAGUUUGCAGUAUGUAGCUUGCUCUCUGUCUAUCAAUAAAGCAUGUAGCCAUAACAUGUCGCGUUCUCUGCUUCGUGGCCUUGGCUAUGUGCGACUAUCGAAUUGUUACUUUUGUACCGUUCUAUAAUCCAAGACUUUUCCUACUUCCAGUAGCGACCAAGAAUUUAGUGUGGUAUCAAAGCAGAGACAUCUGUAUUUAAA